rnacentral:sRNA from 1 species
UACUGGUAUUUUAAAAUUGGACAUCCCAAUUGUAGUGACUUUUUUAUGCUUUUUAUUUGCUUCUUUAUAGUUAUUUUUUUCGAAUUUUGUUUCGUAGGAGCAUUGAAGUGGGCGCUUUGGAUUUACUUGCAGAAAAAAAUCACAUGAUCCCAUCUCUGUGCCAUAAGCAUCUCAGAAGAACUUGAAAACAAAGCAGUGCACAAAUUGCGGUCAGAUAUGAAGGUAAUUGGAUUGGGAAUGAAAGCAGCUAUGAGGGGAUGGAGUACCCAAAGGGCAAUGCAUGACAUGCAGAUGAUACUGCAAUGUUUGAUAUUUUCCACCCUUGAGGACAGGUCUAUGUUCAUGGAGGCCCUGGAAUCAGGAUGAACUACUAGCUUGAAUUCAGUCCACUGUGUUGCAAAUUCAGCAUUUGAAGGGUCUUGACGGAAACUCGGGAAAAGGACACAAAGAGGCAUGAAUUGAGAUACAAAUUAUGGAUAUUGAAUGGAAAUGACUAUAGAGCAGUGGUGAAGAAUCUCAAAAUGGCGUGCUAUUCAUUGUUUCACACCAAUACUGCGCACAAUGCCUG